rnacentral:rRNA from 1 species
CGAACGAAGCAAUUAAAAUGAAGUUUUCGGAUGGAUUUUUGAUUGACUGAGUGGCGGACGGGUGAGUAACGCGUGGAUAACCUGCCUCACACUGGGGGAUAACAGUUAGAAAUGACUGCUAAUACCGCAUAAGCGCACAGUACCGCAUGGUACGGUGUGAAAAACUCCGGUGGUGUGAGAUGGAUCCGCGUCUGAUUAGCCAGUUGGCGGGGUAACGGCCCACCAAAGCGACGAUCAGUAGCCGACCUGAGAGGGUGACCGGCCACAUUGGGACUGAGACACGGCCCAAACUCCUACGGGAGGCAGCAGUGGGGAAUAUUGCACAAUGGGCGAAAGCCUGAUGCAGCGACGCCGCGUGAGUGAAGAAGUAUUUCGGUAUGUAAAGCUCUAUCAGCAGGGAGGAAAAUGACGGUACCUGACUAAGAAGCCCCGGCUAACUACGUGCCAGCAGCCGCGGUAAUACGUAGGGGGCAAGCGUUAUCCGGAUUUACUGGGUGUAAAGGGAGCGUAGACGGCGAAGCAAGUCUGAAGUGAAAACCCAGGGCUCAACCCUGGGACUGCUUUGGAAACUGUUUUGCUAGAGUGUCGGAGAGGUAAGUGGAAUUCCUAGUGUAGCGGUGAAAUGCGUAGAUAUUAGGAGGAACACCAGUGGCGAAGG